AGUGAACGCUGGCGGUAGGCCUAACACAUGCAAGUCGAACGGCAGCACAGUAAGAUCUUGCUCUUACGGGUGGCGAGUGGCGGACGGGUGAGGAAUACAUCGGAAUCUACUUUUUCGUGGGGGAUAACGUAGGGAAACUUACGCUAAUACCGCAUACGACCUACGGGUGAAAGCAGUGGAGCUUCGGACCUUGCGCGAUUGAAUUAGCCGAUGUCGGAUUAGCUAGUUGGCGAGGUAAGGGCCCACCAAGGCGACGAUCCGUAGCUGGUCUGAGAGGAUGAUCAGCCACACUGGAACUGAGACACGGUCCAGACUCCUACGGGAGGCAGCAGUGGGGAAUAUUGGACAAUGGGCGAAAGCCUGAUCCAGCCAUACCGCGUGGGUGAAGAAGGCCUUCGGGUUGUAAAGCCCUUUUGUUGGGAAAGAAAAGCAGCAGGUUAAUACCCCGCUGUUCUGACGGUACCCAAAGAAUAAGCACCGGCUAACUUCGUG
rnacentral:rRNA from 1 species